rnacentral:misc_RNA from 1 species
GAAAUGCGAUAAGUAGUGUGAAUUGCAGAAUUCAGUGAAUCAUCGAAUCUUUGAACGUACAUUGCGCCCCUUGGUAUUCCAUGGGGCAUGCCUGUUCGAGCGUCAUUUGUACCCUCAAGCUCUGCUUGGUGUUGGGUGUUUGUCCCCGUCUCCGCGCGUGGACUCGCCCCAAAGUGAUUGGCAGCCGGCGUACUGGUCCCGGAGCGCAGCACAUGUCGCGCAAACGAGUGCCUUGGUACGGCGGCGUCCAUAAGCCCCUCUCUCACGCUCUUGACCUCGGAUCAGGUAGGGAUACCCGCUGAACUUAAGC